UGAUUUCUAAUUAUGAAACAUCUCUCUAUUAAAAUAACUUCAUUAAAUACAUGUAAUCUGAUUUGGGGCUGGGGCAUAAGGUCUUGUUUGUAGGUGCUGUUUUGAAGGAGAUGAAAAGAGAAGAGGAAAUUGAAAAGCAGACAAAGGAGAUUACUCCACCAAAGUUAAAGAAUAUGCCCUCUCACGCCACAGUACCCUCAAGAGGUUUGAGUUUUUAACUUAUAUUUUGAGUUUUAGUUUCCAAUCUUUGUUAAUAAUUUGUGCAGGCUUAUAGUUUCCAUUUAUAUGUAGAUGGAUUUAUAGGCAAGGUGAGGAUUCUAAAUUAGGUUCCAAUCUUUUUUCUUUUUUCCUACAAUUUUGUUUCUUGAAGAUUUGUUGGCUUUGUGCAAAUGGAGAACAAGUUUAAUUUUGAAACCCCACACAUCAAUUGAUUAAGCUAGUCUCUCUCCCACUUUGACACAUGCAAACAAGCACAUUUUGUUUUUGUUGAGUUUCUUUGUUCUAGGGAAAUUUUUUUGUUCGUGAAAAUUACAAUGGAUGACUGCUAAAAUGAGUUUUUUAAACAAAAAUGCAGGGGAUUUUGAUAAAUGGCCAAGGCCACAUAUCAAAUACAAGUUUGAUUCUUGUUAGCUUGUGUCUGCUAUUACUAGGAGGUUUUACUAGGAGGUUUUUGCAUAGGUUACAUGUGGUUUGGUGUGUUAGAGAUUGAUUUUUGUUGUUAUAUUCAUGAGUGUAUGGGUUGGAGACCAGCAUCAAUUUGUUUCAGGCUUCAAUAGGAGUGCUAGUCAGUUUUUUUCUUUUUCUGUUAUUUUUUAGGAUGAUGCUGUUUGAAUUUUAUUAGUUAUAAAGUGAAUUUUGAAGAAUAUUGUCAUACUGAAUUGUGUUUGGGUAGGUGGGUUCCAUUAGCAGGUUCAUCCUGAAUUGUAAGCAUUAUUCAUAUUUUCUAUUCAAUUUGAAACUUAUAUAUACAAUUUUUUUUUCUUUCUCAAUGCACAUAGUUUAUGAUUAGAAGAUCAUUCUCUCUGUUUUUUCUUGUCCAAACCUUUUCAGAAGAUAUUUAAGAUGGUGAAAAAAGCUCGGAAGCAUAGUAAGGGGGAGCUUGGUGGAUUAUGUGGAGUUUGUUGAUAUUGUAGAAGUCAAAGAACUACAAAGGAGAAGCUUGAGUGUACCUUAUUUGGUGAUAAUGAAGGUAUACAUAUGUAUAGAUAUGUAGAACUUGACUUGUAGGAUAAUCAUGUGUAUAAAUUUGGUUUAGGUUUAUUCUUGUUAUUAGGCAUGUAGUUAG
rnacentral:lncRNA from 1 species